GACGAAGGUGGCAAGCGUUGUUCGGAUUCACUGGGCAUAAAGGGCGCGUAGGCGGUUCCGAAAGUGGCAUGUGAAAUCCCCCGGCUCAACCGGGGAAGUGCGUGCCAAACUUCGGUGCUAGAGGGCGGUAGGGGGGACUGGAACUCUCGGUGGAGCGGUGAAAUGCGUAGAUAUCGAGAGGAACACCGGUGGCGAAGGCGAGUCCCUGGUCCGCUUCUGACGCUGAGGCGCGAAAGCGUGGGUAGCAAACAGG
rnacentral:rRNA from 2 species